AUUUGUUAAGAAUUGAAAGGGAUUUCUGUAGAAUUAGUAUAAAUUGUUGGGAUUAUUAAUAACUAGAAACGAGUGUAGACAGAAAAUUUCCAUGGAAUUUGACUCCCACUUAAAUUAAACUCAACUCAAUGAGAAAAAAAAUAUGGGGUGGCUACAAGAGCUUUAGUUCCGGGGAUGAUCAGAUCCAGAUUCAAUUCUUAAAAAAUUGGGCACUGGAGGCGGGCACGUGCCCGGACAUGCAUGAUUGGACAUCAGCCCGGCGGCCGAUGAGGCCGACCGAGCACUCAGUCUUCAGAACUCUAGGUUGUAGUCAGCCGACGGAAGACAUCAAGUCCUGGUCCUGUAACUCGGCCAAAGACACCUGGAACUUGGU